CCUACGGGAGGCAGCAGUGGGGAAUAUUGCACAAUGGGGGAAACCCUGAUGCAGCGACGCCGCGUGGGCGAGGAAGUACUUCCGUAUGUAAAGCCCUGUCAGCAGGGAAGAAACAGGACUGUACCUGACUAAGAAGCCUCGGCUAACUCCGCGCCAGCAGCAGCGGCUAUACGCAGGGCGCAAGCGUUAGUCGGACUGACUGGGCGUAAAGGGAUCGCAGGCGGUAUGUCAAGUCCGAUGGGAAAACCCCGGGCCCAACCCCGGGAAUGCAUUGGAAACUGGCAGGCUGGAGUGUCGGAGAGGUAAGCGGAAUUCCAGGUGUAGCGGUGAAAUGCGUAGAUAUUUGGAGGAACACCAGUGGCGAAGGCGACUUACUGGACGACUACUGACGCUGAGGCUCGAAAGCGUGGGGAGCAAACAGGAUUAGAUACCCUAGUAGUC
rnacentral:rRNA from 1 species